rnacentral:rRNA from 1 species
UAGGGAAUUUUCGUCAAUGGGCGCAAGCCUGAACGAGCAAUGCCGCGUGAGUGAGGAAGGCCUUCGGGUCGUAAAGCUCUGUUGCGAGGGAAAAAGGAACGGAAGAGGAAAUGAUUCCGUUUUGAUGGUACCUCGCCAGAAAGUCACGGCUAACUCCGUGCCAGCAGCCGCGGUAAUACGGAGGAUGCGAGCGUUAUCCGGAUUUAUUGGGUUUAAAGGGUGCGUAGGCGGUCUGUUAAGUCAGCGGUAAAAUUGCGGGGCUCAACCUCGCCGAGCCGUUGAAACUGGUAGACUUGAGUGGGCGAGAAGUACGCGGAAUGCGUGGUGUAGCGGUGAAAUGCAUAGAUAUCACGCAGAACUCCGAUUGCGAAGGCAGCGUACCGGCGCCCAACUGACGCUGAAGCACGAAGGCGUGGGUAUCGAACAGGAUUAGAUACC